CAAAGAGGAGCCAGCUGGGCUCACAUCUCCCAGCAGCACAGCUCCUGUUUUCCGYCCAGAGACACUGCAGCACUUUGAGUCCGGACGCUCCGUUUCCUCCCCACUUUGUGGGAACGGGAAGCGGCCGAAUUGUUCUGGAGCUGACUGAGGUUUAAUCAUUGAUGAGCACCAACUGCCAGGAGAGAGAGGACAAACAUGACCCCCAUCCCGGGACACCCAGAGGACGGUGUCCCGAGUCAAAGAGCCUCUCCUAAACAAGGCAGGGACAGAGAUGAAGCUUCAGGAACAGAUGCAUCCGAGAAAACAUCAACAGCAAAUUCACCUCUAGAAGCUGUGCCUUCUGUUUCUGAUGUAUCUCUGAUGGGUUCACCGACUGGACUUUGUACAAAAAUAAAGAUUUCUUUGGACAGGAAGGAAAACAUAACACCCUGUUUUGUUCUGGUUUUAUUUUUGUCUUCAUUAUCUCACUUUCAAUGUAGCUGAGUUAAAAAAAAAACAACAAACUAAAAAAAAACAACUUUUACAACAGAUGAUAAAUUACUAAAUUUUUAUUCUUAUUUCUGUUUUUAAUAUUAUUCUUAUUUUUAUUUUUAUUCUUAAAAGGUAGCCUAUAUUUCAUAUUUAUUAUGUUAUAUCACUUAGCCAGUUCCCGUCAAGUCAAAAUAAAUAUGAUUGUGCCAAUUCACAACUAAACUCCAGGGCAGCAAACAAACAUACAAAACGUAAAAUUAUYUAAUUUGAUUUAAAAUUAUUGUCCAUUCAAUCCAAUUAUGAAGCAACCCAAUCACAUUCAGCUCAUUAUGAAAUGCUCAUUAGAAAACAAGACAAUUUAUAAAAUUAUUAUGAUUGUUGUUGAGUCAGUGGGACAGUGGGACCCCUCAGAUCACUUGCCCUAUGUUCACAUUUUGACUUGUUCAGAUUUCGUUGUUGUUGUUGUUGUUGUUGUUGUUGUUGUUGUUGUUGUUAUUAUUCUUUGUUAGACUUUUCAUAAUAAAAAGGUCGACUCUGAA